GGAGAAGCAGCUGAGUGGAAAGAGCCCGGGCUUCGCAGUCAGAGGUCAUGGGUUCGAAUCCCGUCUCCGCCA
rnacentral:tRNA from 1 species